UACGUAGGGUCCGAGCGUUGUCCGGAAUUACUGGGCGUAAAGAGCUCGUAGGUGGUUUGUCGCGUUGUUCGUGAAAACUCACAACUCAAUUGUGGGCGUGCGGGCGAUACGGGCAGACUGGAGUACUGCAGGGGAGACUGGAAUUCCUGGUGUAGCGGUGGAAUGCGCAGAUAUCAGGAGGAACACCGGUGGCGAAGGCGGGUCUCUGGGCAGUAACUGACGCUGAGGAG
rnacentral:rRNA from 1 species